rnacentral:lncRNA from 10 species
AAUUGCAGCAAUGGAGAAGGUAAAGCCCACAGGACGUGCUGAAGAUGGGGUGUGGCAUAAGAGAAAAAGAGAGAACUUCAAGAUGACGUCAUUUUUCUUGUCCUGGUCAUCUUUUCUAAAACUCUUCUAGUGGCAGCUCUAAAUAUCAGUUGGACUGGUACUGAAGAAAAAACAGGACAAAAAGGCCAGAAGGUCUCGCCCCACAGCAAAUUAGAAGUUAAUUUGCAUGAGAGCAAGAGCCUUUGCUGUCCUGUUUUACAUCGUUGAUGCCUAAAUGAAAAGAAUGAAAGAAGAUGGAGAGAUCUGAGUACAACCAUCAAGUGAAGGCGUAACCAAGGGAGGCUUGAGCAUACACGUAGACAGAGGGGAGGAAUCUUGUGGAAUAGAAGAGGAUAGAGACACAGAAGAGAGGAUUCAUUGGUGAAAUGAAGCCUCAUGCAUGUUAAUGGUUUUCCUCUGUUUGUUCCAGGGUUACUGAAGUCAGUAGCACCUUGGGAUCUACAUCUCCAUGCUGUGGAAGGAGGGGAAUGGCUGCCUCCUAGAUGGGAACCACUGGAUUAAGUUAAUAUCAGGCUGCUCCAGAAGCAACGAAGUGACUUUGAGUAAAAGUAUCUUUCUGUGCUCUCAACUCAUCUCUGAUCAGGAGUGGUGUGCUGGGCAAAGCAUUGAGUUCAGAGUUAAAUUUGAAUUGGAAUAUUGUGAAAACAUUUCUACCAUCUUGUUUUUUGAGACUAGGUCUCACUUUAUCAUUUAGGCUGGAGUGCAGUGGGGUGAUCUCGGCUCACUCCAACCUUGACCUGCCAGGUUUAAGCUAUCCUCCUGCCUCAGCCCCCCAAGUGGCUGUGACUACAGGUGCACAACAUCCCUCCCAGCUAAUUUUUUGUAUUUUUUGUAAAGACGGAGUUUCACCAUGUUGCCCAGUCUGGUCUCAAACUUCUGAGCUCAAGCCAUCCUCCCGCCUCAGCCUCCCAAAGUGCUAGGAUUAAAA